AUGAACGCCGGCGCUCACUGGUCCGGCCAACGCUCCCCUUCGUCACCACCGCCGGUACUCCCUUGUCAGGUGGAGGCUCCCCUUCGCAGUCGCUGCUCUUCCUCCCCUUCAUGUCGAAUCGGUCACCGAAGUGGCCGGGGAGGCCCUCGAGGUCGGCAUGCUCGCGCCAGCGCUAGGCGCCGGUGGAGGCAGAGGCGGAGGCGUGGCACUCGCAUGCGCCUUCUCUACCCCGCUCCUUCUCUGAAUCCGGUGGCCGAAGUGCUCGAGGAGGCGCUCGAGCUCGGCAUGCUCGCCGGCGACGGGCUUCUCGCUCCUCCGGAUGCCCUCACCGUCGCCGCCAUGAGCCUCUCCAUCCUCUCUUGCGCGGUCGUCUGGGCCCAGAUUGCAGCACUAGUUGACAUGAUACAAUAUCUUUUCAAAAGAUGA
rnacentral:rRNA from 1 species